GCAUGUUAUAUUUCCACUUAAAAAUUCAGAUUAACAAAAAAGGGUAAGUAUGCUUCUAUUACAUUUUUAAAAAUCACUAAAAUGCUUAUAUUUGAAUUAGGAAAACCUUAAUUUUUUUGUUUUAAUUUUUAUAGUGAAUAAAACCUUUUCCUUCAAAUCUUUAUACAUAAGUAGAAAACGAGUAACUAGAAUUUAUCCUUAAACUAUGCUGCUAGCUCUCAAAUUCUUAUUGACUAAAUGAGAAAUUCACAUUUUCCCCUUAAUAAUUCCAAUAGUGAUUUUAAUAACAAUAGGAGUAAUUAACACUAUUCAGUACAUACUGUGGAUCAGACACUUUUCUAGACCCUUAAGAAAUCAACCCUUGAGGUAUGUGUUACAUAAUAAUGCCUAUUUUACAGAUGUAGAAAGGCACAGAGAUAUUAAAUAACUAGGAUAUAUGCCCACUAUGCAUCAGAGAAAGUGAUUCUAACUCCACUGUCUUCAAAUGUAUGGUAGAAACUAAAAGGAAAACUGAAAUCAAGUACUUGAUUGUAAGACAAUCAGUAAAAAGGCAAUUUGGGGAAAUACUUCUCUGUAUAUAAAAUGAAGAGAGUUAUGUUCUCUGAGCAACCUUUUCUGUGGCAAAGACUCUGUGGUUGACUUUUGGGUAUAUGUGAACAUACCCAAGUCAUACAACUAGUAAGUGACCUACAUUGGAGUCCUGAAUCCAAAUCCCGUGAUCGUCCCAUCACACCAAACUGCCUCUUCUCAAAGUUCUAGAAGUCCUGUUUUGUGAACCAGAGUAAGAGUUCUGAUUUGGGUUACAACAUUCUCAACACUCAGCAGAAUGCAUGAUACAAGAGGUACUCAAAUGUUUGCUGGAUGAAAGAAUGUUUAAGAUAACGAAGAGACUAUCUGAAGAAAAGAGACUGAAUUUUUAGGUCAGAAACCAAAAUAGGAAAGAUGAGAAGAAAUAGCAGGAUGAGAAUAAAAACAAUAAAACAAAAAGUAC
rnacentral:lncRNA from 1 species